CAUGUGAUGCUGGCUGAAGAAGGUUACUAAGCUGCUGCUGUAUUCAGCAGGGUGCUCAAUGGCAGCGGGAGUAGAACAUGGGUUCAGAAUUCACGGGUGCCAGGGGACAGAGCGUCCUGGAGAUAGAUUCCCCCCACCUGUUGACGUACGACAGCGAGGCGCAUUUCUGAGCUACACGAGUGACAAAGAAGUGACAAAUACCCAUCUUAGAGCUCGUGCCUUUCAAAAGAAAUCAGCAUCAGCUCCAUCACUGCAGUGCAAUCCCACAUCCAUAACUCCUGCUACUCUCAGAACAGCAACUUACAAUCUGACUGCUGUGCAGAAGUAGCUUAAAAGGAAGCAGAGAAGUAAUAUUCAGUGCUGCCUGAUGCAAAGAGUACCACAGGG
ensembl:lncRNA